rnacentral:rRNA from 1 species
GAUGAACGCUAGCGGGAGGCUUAAUACAUGCAAGUCGAGCGGCAAGGUCUUCGGACCCUAGAGCGGCGCACGGGUGAGUAACACGUAGGUAACCUGCCCCCCAGUCUGGAACAACUAGAGGAAACUCUAGCUAAUGCCGGAUGAGACCACGAUCCCUUCGGGGGUUGCGGCCAAAGAUGGCCUCUACUUGUAAGCUAUCGCUGAGGGAUGGGCCUGCGGGCCAUUAGCUUGUUGGUGAGGUAACGGCUCACCAAGGCUGUGAUGGCUAGCUGGUCUGAGAGGAUGACCAGCCACACUGGGACUGAGACACGGCCCAGACUCCUACGGGAGGCAGCAGUGGGGAAUAUUGCGCAAUGGGCGAAAGCCUGACGCAGCGACGCCGCGUGGGUGAUGAAGGCC